GCCUUGGUAGCUCAGUCGGUAGAGCAGAGGACUGAAAAUCCUCGUGCCGGCGGUUCGAUUCCGCCCUGAGGCACCA
rnacentral:tRNA from 1 species